UACGUAGGGGGCGAGCGUUGUCCGGAGUUACUGGGCGUAAAGGGCAUGCAGGCGGUCCGACACGUUUUGUGUGACAGCGGGUGGCUUAACUACCCGAGGAUACGAAAGACGGUUGGACUUGAGGACUCGAGAGGGACACGGAAUUCCGGGUGGAGUGGUGAAAUGCGUAGAGAUCCGGAGGAACACCGAAGGCGAAGGCAGUGUCCUGGCGAGUGACUGACGCUGAGGUGCGAAAGCGUGGGGAGCAAACAGG
rnacentral:rRNA from 1 species